AGUGAACGCUGGCGGUAGGCCUAACACAUGCAAGUCGAACGGCAGCACAGUAAGAGCUUGCUCUUACGGGUGGCGAGUGGCGGACGGGUGAGGAAUAUAUCGGAAUCUACUUUUUCGUGGGGGAUAACGUAGGGAAACUUACGCUACUACCGCAUACUACCUACGGGUGAAAGCAGGGGAUCUUCGGACCUUGCGCGAUUGAAUGAGCCGAUGUCGGAUUAGCUAGUUGGCGGGGUAAAGGCCCACCAAGGCGACGAUCCGUAGCUGGUCUGAGAGGAUGAUCAGCCACACUGGAACUGAGACACGGUCCAGACUCCUACGGGAGGCAGCAGUGGGGAAUAUUGGACAAUGGGCGCAAGCCUGAUCCAGCCAUACCGCGUGGGUGAAGAAGGCCUUCGAGUUGUAAAGCCCUUUUGUUGGGAAAGAAAAGCAGCAGGUUAAUACCCCGCUGUUCCGACGGUACCCAAAGAAUAAGCACCGGCUAACUUCGUG
rnacentral:rRNA from 1 species